rnacentral:lncRNA from 10 species
GCAUGUGUCAUCUCCCUUCAUGAAUAUGUAUAGCUUCCCCCCCAAACCUGCUGAAUAUGUAUGAUACUGGCCCUGUUAGGCAUAAAACCCAACUUGUCUUUCUCCUCUUUGAAGAGAGAGCACCUUCAGUCCACAUUAGAGACUUUCUCUUUCCGGCUUGCAAACCAAUAAUGCCAAUAAAGCUCUCCCUUCUACAUCUAGCCAUCCUAGUGGUCUUUGAGACGACAGUUUUCUCUUUGCAAACUGUCUUCCCACAGAAUUGUUGAGCAACAUAAGGACAGGAUACUAUAAUAGACUCACAUCACCUCACAACACCAAGCACAGCACCCCCCAUGAAUACUUGGUGAAUUGGUAUAACCUUGUUCCCACCCCUCUUUGCAGCUCUAUCCCUUUCUCUUAAUCCAAAUUACCUUUAACCCUCAGCCCUCAAUUCCACUUUUGCCUCCAGUUCUCAGGGAUUAGACAACCCAAGGUACGUGAUCAGACUUUGUUUUGAUUUUAGAAGAUCGUGCUGGCUGCAAGCCGACUGAAGAGAUUAGAGUGAAUACAGGCCAGCCGGCAGGGGGGCCAUUGCGCCCGCCCAGGUGAGACAGGGCUGGAGCUGGUGAGAGAGAUGGAGAGAGGAGGAUGGAUUCAAGAGAUACUCAGAAGCAGACAGGCUACAGGAAAUAGCAGAUUGGGAGAGGAGUGGGAACAGGAGAAGCUGUCUUUGGCUCGGCUGGAAGGUGAAGGGAUUCCAGAUGCCGGUUCCUGGCUUGCUCCCCGCUCUCCAUUUGGCUUCAUCCUGGGGCUCUCUUCCUCCCCACAGAGGGGUGGUGGGCACUCUGUGCCACACCUCUCCUCUCUGGGAUCUCAGGUCUGUCCCUGAAACCUGCUGGUAGAAGAACCUCUAGAGUCCUUGCCUCCUUCCCACCGUGUGACCAUUGCCCAUUGGCACAUCUGUCAAGACACAGAUUUUUGGAAGAAAAAAGAAAGAGUGAAUGCUGCAGAGAUGGAUUGUUAAUUUUCCAAAUGAGAUAUGACUCUGAGAUCCCACCUACCCAGCUGGUAGGACGUUCCACCAUGCUCCCUAAGGUGGUUUGAGUGUUUGGAAUGACAAAGACUCUCUCAUCACCCUGAAACCUUAGUCCGGCGGCGCCUCUGAGUCUUCUGCUUGACGAGGCCUGACCUUGGGCUUCCCCAUGUCCUUUCAGAAUCCAGUUUGAGCAAGAAUCCUGCUAAGUCAGGUUAGUGAAAUUUCCCCACUCUUGUUAUCUGACUAUCCUCAAUAUUUUAUCACCCCUGCCUGCAUUCAGCAAUGAUCCUGUCAAGUCAGUUUAGCCAGAAACCCCUUACCCUUGAUGUUUCUUCCUAGUAAUUUUCCAUCCUCUGUCCUUAACCCUGACCAUUGGUUGAUUACAAAUCUCCACUUGCCCUUGUUGGAGUUGAAACUGAGCCUGAUCUCUCUCCCCCACCAUAAGACAUCUUUGCAGUGGCCCCUAUACCUACUGCCAUGGCCUCCCUUGAAUAAAGUCUGCCUUGCCAUCUUUAACACACGUUUGGAUAAUUCUUUUCUUUUUUCUUUUUUUUUUUUUAGUUGGAGUCUUGCUCUGUUGCCCAGGCUGGAGUGUGGUGGCUCAAUCUCAGUUCACUGUAACCUCCAUCUCCCAGGUUCAACCGAUUCUCCUGCCUCAGCCUCCUGAGUAGCUGGGAAUACAGGCGGGUGCCACCACUCCCGGCUACUUUUUUGUAUUUUUAGUAGAGAUGGGAUUUCACCAUCUUAGCCAGGAUGGUCUCAAUCUCCUGACCUCGUGAUCCGCCCACCUCGGCCUUCCAAAGUGCUGGCGUGAGCCACUGCACCCGGCCAAUUUUUUUCUUUAACAGGGUGGUCACUCAAUUUGCAGAGCUUGGAGAAAGGCUUCUGCUCAUUGUCUGAACCUAUAGGGUCCCUUCGAGGAGGUCAGGGCUGUUCACAAUCUAUUCUCCUCCAUGCUAACUUGGCCAUCAUCCCCCAGACCCCAGAAGGGGUUCUGUUGUGUCCUGGGUGGCUGUGUGGGCAUGGAGCGCAGGUCUUCACCCCCACACACGCCGCCUCGUCACUCACUCCCCCACAUUCUGCCACAGGAUUCAACCCACUCCCCAGUUCCAGGUCAGCAGCAGCCUCCCUCCCCUCUCUUGUGGAGCCAAAUCCUCCUCAGCAUGGUAAGGCAUCUGUAGGCUUUGUUAAUCUAGGAGUCUGACCACCCACGUCCUCAGCUGGUCCUGUCCCUCCACAGCCCUCUUCUCCCAGCCCUUCAAUCAUCUCUCCGGACUAUAAGCUUAUUAAGAGCACGGGAGUAGUCAGCACAUCAAGUGUUUGGCACCGGGGUGAGGUGACUGACUACAGCUCUGGGAAGCUCCGCAGAACAAACACCAGAAUGAACGGUGUCUUCAUUCUCCAGUGAGAGGACUUUGCAUCCUGACUUUGUGUACUCUUUCAGGAGCAGACCACCAGAGACAGUCACACAAGGGGAGGGGAGAUGGCAUUGUGGGAGUGGCCCACUCCGUGAGCACAUGAAAUUUUAGAUCUCCACUUCCGUUUGGUAGCAUGUAAAACAGCAGACUCUUGGAAAGUCAUCUUUGGAGGGAACCCAAGAGGUCAUCAUAUCCAGAACUUCAUUUUACAAACAUGUAAACUGAGGCCAGAAAGAGAAAAUGACAGGAGCAAAUAGGUGAUGCUAAUAGGUGAUGGUGUUGGAUUCAAACCCAGGUGUUUUAUCCUGAUGCAAUAAGAAAUACGGAUUUGGUCUCUGUCCCUGGUUCCUGGCAUACAGCUCCUAAAACCCUUGUAAUCUCUGACAAAAGAAUGUCUUUUGGAUGCUAAGAGGAAACUGGUGGCUGGGAGCCCCUAGAUGGCUUCAGAAUGGGGGCUGGUCACCAGAAAGACCAUGGUAUGAUUAGAACCUCUUGAGAGGAGAGAGGGGCUGAAGGUUGCGUUGAUACCUUAUGGCCGAUGAUGUAAUCAAUCAGGCCUAUGUCAUAAAGCUUCCAUAAAAACCAAAGAAAACUUGGUUCAGGAGGCUCCAGACAGCUGAACCUGUGGAGGCGCCUGGAGGGUGGAUCUUCCGGAAAGCACAUGGCAGCUCCGCGCCCCUUCCCACAUGACUUGCCCUGUGCAUCUCUUCCAUCUGGCUGCUCAUCUGUAUCCUUUAUCAUAUCCUUUAAAAGAAACCGGUAAAUGUAAAGUAAGUGUUCUGUGAGCUGCUCUAGCAAAUUAAUUGAAACCAAGGAGGGGGUCUUGGGAACCCCAACUUAUAGUUGGUUGGUCAAAAGCACAGGUCACAACCUUAGUCGUGUGAUUGGCACCUGAACUGGGGGCAAUCUUGUGGGACUGAGCCAUCAGCUGUGGGAUCUGACUCUCACUGCAAGUAGAUGGUGCCAGAAUGGAACUGAAUUAUAGGACACCCAGUUGGUGUCUGCUGGAGAAUUUCUUGGUGUGUAGGGAAAAGCCCCCAUGCAUCUGGUCACAGAAGUAUGCUAUAGUGAAAGACAGUUUGUUUUCCCUUCAGACUGCAUCUCUUUAUAGUUUGUUCUUUGCUAAGAAGAGCUAGAAUUUAGUCUCUUAGCUUCAGACACAAUGUGAAAUUCAUGGAACCAUUACUUAAACAAAAAGUAACCUCUAUGUAUAUAUGUGUAUAUGUGUGUGUGUGUGUGUGUGUGUAUGUGUAUACAUAUAUAUAUAUUUUCCCAGAAAUAUGCUGAACACUAUGGAAGUAUGCUGAACACUAU